GACGAACGCUGGCGGCGUGCUUAACACAUGCAAGUCGAACGGAAAGGCCCUGCUUUUGUGGGGGGCUCGAGUGGCGAACGGGUGAGUAACACGUGAGUAACCUGCCCUUGACUUUGUGAUAACUUCAGGAAACUGGGGCUAAUACCUGAUAGGAGCUCCUGCUGCAUGGUGGGGUUUGGAAAGUUUCGGCGGUUGGGGAUGGACGCCGGGCUUAUCAGCUUGUUGGUGGGGUAGUGGCUUACCAAGGAUUUGACGGGUAGCCGGACUGAGAGGGUGACCGGCCACAGUGGGACUGGGAUGCGACCCAGAGUCAAAAGGGAGGCAGGAGUGGAGACUAUUGCCAAAUAGGCGGCGGCCUGAAGCAGCAACGCCGCGUUCGGGAUGACGGCCUUCGGGUUGUAAACCGAUUUCGCCAGUAACGAAGCGUGAGUGACGGAAAUGCGUAAAGAAGCACGGGCUACCUACGU
rnacentral:rRNA from 1 species